ACAAAAUUAAGUUAGGUUAGACUGUAUGUUUUCAAAACAUUUAGGGGUGUGUACACCAUUUUGUG
rnacentral:tRNA from 1 species